AUGCAGUCGAACGGAGAUAAGCGCUGAUGAUUUAGCUUGCUAGAGAUUCUUGUUUAUCUUAGUGGCGGACGGGUGAGUAACGCGUGAGCAACCUGCCUUUCAGAGGGGGAUAACGUCUUGAAAAGGACGCUAAUACCGCAUGACAUUAUGGAGUCACAUGGCUCUAUAAUCAAAGGAGCAAUCCGCUGAAAGAUGGGCUCGCGUCCGAUUAGGUAGUUGGCGGGAUAACAGCCCACCAAGCCGACGAUCGGUAGCCGGACUGAGAGGUUGAACGGCCACAUUGGGACUGAGACACGGCCCAGACUCCUACGGGAGGCAGCAGUGAGGGAUAUUGGUCAAUGGGGGAAACCCUGAACCAGCAACGCCGCGUGAGGGAUGACGGCCUUCGGGUUGUAAACCUCUGUCCUCUGUGAAGAUAAUGACGGUAGCAGAGGAGGAAGCUCCGGCUAACUACGUGCCAGCAGCCGCGGUAAUACGUAGGGAGCAAGCGUUGUCCGGAUUUACUGGGUGUAAAGGGUGCGUAGGCGGUUUGGUAAGUCAGAAGUGAAAUCCAUGGGCUUAACCCAUGAACUGCUUUUGAAACUAUCGAACUUGAGUGAAGUAGAGGUAGGCGGAAUUCCCGGUGUAGCGGUGAAAUGCGUAGAGAUCGGGAGGAACACCAGUGGCGAAGGCGGCCUACUGGGCUUUAACUGACGCUGAGGCACGAAAGCAUGGGUAGCAAACAGGAUUAGAUACCCUGGUAGUCCAUGCCGUAAACGAUGAUUACUAGGUGUGGGGGGGUCUGACCCCCUCCGUGCCGGAGUUAACACAAUAAGUAAUCCACCUGGGGAGUACGACCGCAAGGUUGAAACUCAAAGGAAUUGACGGGGGCCCGCACAAGCAGUGGAGUAUGUGGAUUAAUUCG
rnacentral:rRNA from 1 species